GAGGGGGCAAGCGUUGUUCGGAAUUACUGGGCGUAAAGGGCGCGUAGGCGGCCUGCUAAGUCGAACGUGAAAUCCCUGGGCUCAACCCAGGAACUGCGUCCGAUACUGGUUGGCUUGAAUCCGGGAGAGGGAUGUGGAAUUCCAGGUGUAGCGGUGAAAUGCGUAGAUAUCUGGAGGAACACCGGUGGCGAAGGCGACAUCCUGGACCGGCAUUGACGCUGAGGCGCGAAAGCCAGGGGAGCAAACGGGAUUAGAUACCCCGGUAGUCCUGGCCCUAAACGAUGAAUGCUUGGUGUGGCGGGUAUCGAUCCCUGCCGUGCCGAAGCUAACGCAUUAAGCAUUCCGCCUGGGGAGUACGGUCGCAAGGCUG
rnacentral:rRNA from 1 species